UAGAUUUCUUGUUUUAUGAUUUAAUUUAAAUUAAUAAAAGAAAAAUCAUUUUAUAUAAGUGUAUUGUUGAAAGAAAUUAUAAUAAAAACUAGAGAAAAAAAGUACCGUGAGGGAAUGAAGAUAAAUUUUUUUAAAGAAAUAGUUAAUUUUUGUACCUUUUGUAUGAUGGUUUAUCUAGAAAAAGACAUAAAUAGUGUUUUCCCGAAAUAAAUUGAGCUAUUAAAUUUCUAUGUCAAUGUGGAAAGAUUGUAUAAAGAGGAUUUAAUAGAAAUGAAAUAUUAAUCGCAAUUUAUGAUAGCUGGUUAAUCAAUAAAGAUAUCAAAGUAUCUAUUUUCGGUGAAUGAAGAUUUAGUUGUUAUUGAACUAAAAAUAAAGACGAAAAAUGUAAAGAUAAAAGGAUAAGCUUUUGUCUAGUGAUAAAAAUUUUUUGAAAAUAAGAAUCAAGUGUAGGCUUAAGAUUGGUCAUCAAUUAAAAAAAUUGUUAUAAAUUAUGAAAAAAAGAAUUUUAUUGGUAAAUAAAUUUUAUUCUUGGGUAUUGAUUAAUUUUAUAAAAACUUUUUAUUAAAAGAAAUUCUGAUAAAAUGAGUAUUUGUGUUUUUAUUUUUCUGAAAAUUAUAAAUAGACAGAAAAUAAAAUAUUUAUAUUAGAAAAUGGAUAAAAGGAAUUCGGCAAAAAUUUGUUUCGCCAGUUUAUCAAAAACAUGGCUCUUUGUUUUAAAAAGAUAGAGAGUCGGACCUGCCCGGUGAAUAAUGAUUUUUAACGGCCGCGGUACCCUGACCGUGCAAAGGUAGCAUAAUCAUUUGCCUUUUAAUUAAAGGCUGGUAUGAACGGUUUGACGAAAACAAAACUGUCUCUUAUCUAUUAUUUAAAAAUUAAUUUUGAUGUGAAGAAGCAUUAAUUAUUCUAAAAGACAAGAAGACCCUGUUGAGCUUUAGCGAAAUGAAAAAGUAAUUUUAUGAAUCAAAAAAAUACUUUUUUUUUAUCUUUUUAGUUGGGGCGACUGAGGAACAAAAGAGCUUCCUUUAUAAAAAAGAUUAAUUUUAUUUUGAUCCAGGAUAUCCUGAUUAGAAGAAUUAGUUACCACAGGGAUAACAGCGUAAUCCUUUUUUAGAGUUCUCAUCGAAAAAAGGGCUUGCGACCUCGAUGUUGGAUUAAGAUUUCCAGUUGGUGCAGAAGCUUUCUUUGGUUGGUCUGUUCGACCAUUAAAAUCUUACAUGAUCUGAGUUCAGACCGGCGUAAGCCAGGUCGGCUUCUAUCUUUAGAAAAAAUAUAUUUUGGACUAGUACGAAAGGACCGUCUAGAAAUAAAGUUUUUAUAAAAAAGAAGAAAUUUAAUUUUGUUUUAAAAAAUG
rnacentral:rRNA from 1 species